UACGUAGGUGGCAAGCGUUGUUCGGAAUUAUUGGGCGUAAAGGGCGCGUAGGCGGCUUGUUAAGUCGGCUGUGAAAGCCCGGGGCUCAACCCCGGAGGGUCAGCCGAUACUGGCAGGCUAGAGUACGGAAGAGGUAGCUGGAAUUCCCGGUGUAGCGGUGAAAUGCGUAGAUAUCUGGAGGAACACCGGUGGCGAAGGCGGCAUCCUGGACCGGUAUUGACGCUGAGGCGCGAAAGCCAGGGGAGCAACGGG
rnacentral:rRNA from 1 species